UGAAGAGCUUUUCAGAUUUCGCUCUUAAGUGUUUUACUCAGUUGAAUUGUAUUAAAUGCGUCAUUCGCUCUCUCAAAAAGUCACAUAAAAAAAAAAUAAUAAUAAUUGACCGCGUAGUUUUUGAGUUAUGGCCAUAGCAACACCAUAGCAACGAGGGACGCGCCGUCCUGCCGACCCCUACCUCGUGACGUAACUUCCAGGAAGCCUCGCCACCACUCUGAACACGGAAAUAUAGCACCACGCUAUCCUCGCCAUAUAUUGCAAACAUUUUCUGGGUUUUACUCGCGGGAUUCGUCAUGCCAUCUCGAUGUGUAGCGAUAUGAAUUACUCACAGGAAGACUCGAGACUCUAGGAGUGGUCCAAAAAAAAACUUCUCCUGCAAAGCCACGACAGCUUUGAAAACCUACAACAAUGCAACCUUGGUUUUCCAAAGACGAAGCCAAACAUAAAAAAUUAAGUGGCGGAAACCCUCAACACGAUGAAAAAAGCGUUGCAAGUCAGUUGCCACCCAGUUUCCCAAAAUCAAGAGCGAGUGGGUCGAGUCAUAUGACGACCGAAGUGAUGCGGUGUCCAGCGAUGACGACUGAAGAGAUCCUAUGGGGCCUGCCAGAUGCUGAAUUUCUUCCGUCUGCGACAUCAGAUGACGAUGAUUUAGGAGAAAUAAAUGUAGCAAAUUUUGAUGACAUGAAAUCAUAAACUAGUCAUAUAUACAGUACACAUUCUUAAAAAGAAAAAUCAAGUUACCUUCAUAUUUUAAUGAUAAUGCAUUAUCUUUGUAUAGAGAACACUUCAUGCUACAGAAAAGAGUAAAUCCAUAUUUCCCACUGCCAUUAUCAUUUUUCAAUGUUGCGCUAGUCCGUUGCUAUCCUAACUUUGUGUUGCUUACUAAAAUUAUGCUCUUUGAUGUGUGCCGUUGUGUGCUUGGUAUAACAUGUUGUGUCACAAUCUGACAACGAAAGCUAAUGCUGAUUCAACAUAAACCUGGUAUCAUUUAUUAUUGCGGCCUAUUGAAUAUUUUUUCAGAAUGUGAUAUAAUUACAAUAUAUUAUAUACCAAUAGAAUACAUUAAACAGUCAACAAAAUGUGUCAAUGUUGUUAACAAUUUAUGGUUUUAUUUUUUUAAUGAAAUUCAUGCCCCUGUCAGUGCUUCAGCCUCCGCAAGUUUGGCUCUCACGUCUGGGAUCUCCUGAUGACACAGGCAUACUCUUGGAAGGGUAAUUACUUGACGGUUUACAGCAACACCUGGAAAAUAAAAUGGUUUUGUCAUUUAUUUUGA